rnacentral:rRNA from 1 species
AUUGAACGCUGGCGGCAUGCCUUACACAUGCAAGUCGAACGGUAACAGGUCUUCGGAUGCUGACGAGUGGCGAACGGGUGAGUAAUACAUCGGAACGUGCCUAGUAGUGGGGGAUAACUACUCGAAAGAGUGGCUAAUACCGCAUGAGAUCUACGGAUGAAAGCAGGGGAUCGCAAGACCUUGUGCUACUAGAGCGGCCGAUGGCAGAUUAGGUAGUUGGUGGGAUAAAAGCUUACCAAGCCGACGAUCUGUAGCUGGUCUGAGAGGACGAUCAGCCACACUGGGACUGAGACACGGCCCAGGCUCCGACGGGAGGCAGCAGUGGGGAAUUUUGGACAAUGGGCGCAAGCCUGAUCCAGCAAUGCCGCGUGCAGGAUGAAGGCCUUCGGGUUGUAAACUGCUUUUGUACGGAACGAAAAGCCCUGGGUUAAUACCCUGGGGUCAUGACGGUACCGUAAGAAUAAGCACCGGCUAACUACGUGCCAGCCACCGCGGUAAUAC